rnacentral:rRNA from 1 species
GACGAACGCUGGCGGCGUGCCUAAUACAUGCAAGUAGGACGCAGUUGCGAACGGGUGAGUAACGCGUAGGUAACUACCUAUUAGAGGGGGCUAACUAUUGGAAACGAUAGCUAAUACCGCAUACUAGUAGAUGGACCUGCGUUGUAUUAGCAAGUAGGUAGGGUAAUGGCCUAACUAGGCAACGAUACAGAACCGGCCGUCGAUGGGGGUCGGCCACACUGGGACUGAGGCACGGCCCAGAAUCCUACGGGAGGCAGCAGUAGGGAAUCUUCGGCAAUGGGGGGAAACCUGACCGAGCAACGCCGCGUGAGUGAAGAAGGUUUUCGGAUCGUAAAGCUCUGUUGUUAAGGAAGCGGUACUUAACCAGAAAGGGCCGGCUAACUCCGUGCCAGCAGCCGCGGUAAUAC